CUCUGCAGUUCGCAGAUGGCGUCUACCUGGUGCUGCUCAUGGGGCUGCUGGAAGAUUACUUCGUCCCCCUCCACAACUUCUACCUGACUCCCGACAGCUUUGAUCAGAAGGUCCACAACGUGGCCUUCGCCUUUGAGCUGAUGCUGGAAGGAGGCCUCAAGAAGCCCAAGGCUCGCCCGGAAGACGUGGUGAACCUGGACCUCAAGUCCACGCUGAGGGUUCUCUACAACCUGUUCUCCAAGUACAAGGACACGGAGUGACGGGCAGCCGGGCCGGGGUCCGGAUCCGCGUGUGGCCGCUGCGCCCCCCGAGAGCCACGCGCAAGCCACGCGGGAGAUGCGCCGGCCUUCGCCCC